ACACGACUACAUUAGAUACCCCUGUAGUCCUAGCCGUAAACGAUACUCGCUAGGUGUCGGCCACGGUGCGACCGUUGUCGGUGCCGUAGGGAAGCCGUGAAGCGAGCCACCUGGGAAGUACGGCCGCAAGGCUGAAACUUAAAGGAAUUGGCGGGGGAGCACAACAACGGGUGGAGCUUGCGGUUUAAUUGGAUUCAACGCCGGAAAUCUUACCGGGACCGACAGCAACAUGAAGGCCAAGCUGAAGACUUUGCCGGAUUGGCUG
rnacentral:rRNA from 1 species